ensembl:snRNA U6 U6 spliceosomal RNA
GUGCUCCCUUUGGUGGCACAUACACUAAAAUUAGAACAAUACAGAGAAGAUUAGCACGGCCCCUGUGCAAGAUGACAUGCAAAUUCACAAAGCAUUCCAUAUUUUU